CUCCCCCCGGGCAGCUGCCCCGACACUCUAGGCGGGAGACCUUCUCCUGGGUUUGGCACGCCGCGUAGCCUUGCUGUCUCUGGUAGACAUCUCGGACCCGUUCUCCUCGGCAGGCCACCUCUGCAGGCGAGAGAAAGGACCACAGGUCAGAUGCAAAACCUGGACUGCUGCUGUGAGCCUCUGUACAUAAGCCACAGUACGCCUUGCCCAGGCCCGACACUCGGCAUUUGCCGUGUUUACACCGAGACAGACUGCAGGGGUUUGCUGGAUCCUGGUCCUGCUCAUCACACAGCACGCCAGCA